UACGUAGGGUGCGAGCGUUGUCCGGAUUUAUUGGGCGUAAAGGGCUCGUAGGCGGCGUGUCGCGUCGGGAGUGAAAGACCGGGGCUUAACCCCGGUUCUGCUUCCGGUACGGGCAUGCUGGAGUGUGGUCAGGGGCAGAGGGAAUUUCCGGUGGAGCGGUGAAAUGCGUAGAGAUCGGAAAGAACACCAACGGCGAAAGCACUCUGCUGGGCCGACACUGACACUGAGAGACGAAAGCUAGGGGAGCGAAUGGG
rnacentral:rRNA from 1 species